rnacentral:rRNA from 1 species
GCGGUGGAGCAUGUGGUUUAAUUCGAUGCAACGCGAAGAACCUUACCAGGUCUUGACAUCCCCUGACAACCCGAGAGAUCGGGCGUUCCCCCUUCGGGGGACAGGGUGACAGGUGGUGCAUGGUUGUCGUCAGCUCGUGUCGUGAGAUGUUGGGUUAAGUCCCGCAACGAGCGCAACCCUCGACCUUAGUUGCCAGCAUUCAGUUGGGCACUCUAAGGUGACUGCGGCUAAAAGUCGGAGGAAGGUGGGGAUGACGUCAAAUCAUCAUGCCCCUUAUGACCUGGGCUACACACGUGCUACAAUGGGCGGUACAAAGGGUCGCGAACCCGCGAGGGGGAGCCAAUCCCAAAAAGCCGCUCUCAGUUCGGAUUGCAGGCUGCAACUCGCCUGCAUGAAGCCGGAAUCGCUAGUAAUCGCGGAUCAGCAUGCCGCGGUGAAUACGUUCCCGGGCCUU